rnacentral:rRNA from 1 species
GACGAACGCUGGCGGCGUGCUUAACACAUGCAAGUCGAACGGAAAGGCCCUGCUUUUGUGGUGUGCUCGAGUGGCGAACGGGUGAGUAACACGUGAGUAACCUGCCCUUGACUUUGGGAUAACUUCAGGAAACUGGGGCUAAUACCGGAUAGGAGCUCCUGCUGCGUGGUGGGGGUUGGAAAUUUUCGGCGGUUGGGGAUGGACUCGCGGCUUCUCCGCUUGUUGGUGGGGUAGUGGCUUACCAAGGCUUUGACGGGUAGCCGGCCUGAGAGGGUGACCGGCCACAUUGGGACUGAGAUACGGCCCAGACUCCUACGGGAGGCAGCAGGGGGGAAUAUGGCACAAUGGGGGGAAGCCUGAUGCAGCAACGCCGCGUGCGGGAUGACGGCCUUCGGGUGGUAAACCGCUUUGGCCUGUGACGAAGCGUGAGUGACGGUAAUGGGUAAAGAAGCACCGGCUAACUACGUG